rnacentral:rRNA from 1 species
AAAGGAGAGAUCCGGUACCGGCUGGGCAUGCGGCGCAUUAGCUAGUUGGCGGGGCAACGGCCCACCAAGGCGACGAUGCGUAGGGGUUCUGAGAGGAAGGUCCCCCACACUGGAACUGAGACACGGUCCAGACUCCUACGGGAGGCAGCAGUGAGGAAUAUUGGUCAAUGGGCGCAAGCCUGAACCAGCCAAGUCGCGUGAGGGAAGACGGCCCUACGGGUUGUAAACCUCUUUUGCCGGGGAGCAAGCCUGAGCACGUGUGCCCAGGCGGAGAGUACCCGGAGAAAAAGCAUCGGCUAACUCCGUGCCAGCAGCCGCGGUAAUACGGAGGAUGCGAGCGUUAUCCGGAUUUAUUGGGUUUAAAGGGUGCGCAGGCGGGCUGUUAAGCCGGCGGUAAAAAUUCAGGGCUCAACCCUGUCGAGCCGUCGGAACUGGCAGUCUUGAGUGGGCGAGAAGUAUGCGGAAUGCGUGGUGUAGCGGUGAAACGCAUAGAUAUCACGCGGAACGCCGAUUGCGAAGGCAGCAUACCGGCGCCCAACUGACGCUGAGGCACGAAAGCGUGGGGAUCGAACAGGAUUAGAUACCCUGGUAGUCCACGCAGUAAACGAUGAGCGCUAACUGUCCGGAGCGAGCGAGCUCUGG